rnacentral:rRNA from 1 species
GCACUUUUGUGCCCGUUGUAUGUCUGAAGUGUAGGGUGCCUGAGAAACGAAUGCUUAAGUCUUCUGGAAAAGGAGCGCCAUGGAGGGUGAUAGCCCCGUCUAGCAUUGACCUCAUAUAGGAUCUUAACAUGGAGUCGAGUUGUUUGGGAAUGCAGCUCAAAUGGGUGGUAUGCUCCAUCUAAAGCUAAAUAUCUGCGAGAGACCGAUAGUAAACAAGUACUGUGAGGGAAAGAUGAAAAGAACUUUGAAAAGAGAGUGAAAAAGUACGUGAAAUUGUUGAAAUGGAAGGGUAGGGCCCUAACCAUGUAAAGCCGUGUUGGGGGGGAAUAUAAUUGC